rnacentral:pre_miRNA from 2 species
AUAAUACUCCCUCCAUCUUAAAUUUUUUGUUUUAGAUUUGUUUAGAUACGAAUGUAUCCAGUAAAGUUUUAGUAUUUAGAUAUAUUUAUUUCUAGAUAAAGCUAAGAUAAAAAUUUUGAGACGGAGGGAGUAGUUU